GGCUCAAUGGUCUAGUGGUAUGAUUCGUGCUUCGGGUAUUUCAUCCGUACUCUUGACGAGUAUCUGUGCGAGGUCUCGGGUUCGAUCCCCGAUUGAGCCC